rnacentral:lncRNA from 1 species
CACGAAUGCAAUUCGCCUCAGCAAAUCAUCUGCUUCUCUGCUGCCUGCAUCUGAAUAAUGCUCUACAAAAUCUAGAAAGAAAUCAACCUUUGUGCGAAGAGAUUCAUUCUGGUACUUGUCGAAACAAGUAGAGAGGAGAGGAUGAGUCUGGAUCUGCUCCAUAGUAUUCAACAAAGAAACUAGAGAUGCAUAAGCCGCCAUCUUUAACCUCUGAUAUAUUUUUUUGAAUAAAUUGACUUGAUCUUAUG